GGAAGGAUCAUUAACACGUUAUCCACGUAUCUACCUCUUGCGAACUUUUUACUGUUUAAGAGUCGGCAGACCAGCGUAGAUGAUGGAGGUAGAUGUUACUAUGUCCAGCGGUCGACGCCCUGGUUCUACCUGCCUAACUAACCCCGCACUAAAUGUGGUGUAGUGUGUGGGUUGGGUAUUCUGGUUCAUAUGACUCGAAUCAUAGUAGUUUUUAAUCUUAUUAACCCUUUUUACCAAAUUUGUUGAAUUGUGAUGGUCUCUGGAGGUAACACUUCGGCCGACUCACGUUAAUAAAACACUAUACAACUCUUAGCAACGGAUAUCUCGGUUCUCCUAUCGAUGAAGAACGCAGCGAAAUGCGAUACGUAAUGCGAAUUGCAGAAUUCAGUGAAUCAUCGAAUCUUUGAACGCAAAUUGCACUCUGGGGUAGCCCCCAGAGUACACUUCUUUCAGUAUCGUUUCAACACAAACUCAGCUGCGUGCUUUUUUGAAAAGAAAGGUCACGUCGGCUGGAUAAUGAGAGUAAGCCACAUUCUUUUCCCUUAAAAACGGAUCAGAGAGGACUUUCUCUUUAAGUUCAGUUCAGCUUGGAACCCCGGUAGCAUGCCGAAAGGAUAUUAGCGCUUUCCUUUGUCAAGGAGUCUAGAGCAAUUUCAGCAAAAGAGUAUAGAUCGUCAAACUAUCUCUUUUAGCUGCGCUCUAGUUUCUGAUGCAAUUCAGCGUGGAUGUGUGGGUGUAGAUCGUCAAACUACUCCAUCAUCCAGAGCUGCGCUUAGACUCGAUGCAUUCAGCGUGAAGGUGUAGAUCGUCAAACUACUCUUCAGAGCUGCGCGUUGGGCAGCCUUGACAAUAAGAUUGCCUCUUGAGGAUUACGAAAGUACGGUCUUCCAAUAUCAAACAGUGUCACUGUCUCUUGAUAAAAAAUUCAAUUUUCUCCAGUAGGGUUCAAAAGUGGUGUGAACACCGAACGGAAAAAGAAAAAAAUCUUCGAGACUUGGUGAAGAUCACUGGGAAAUGCCAGAAAAAGUGUCUUCUUGAGGGCUAGUAUCGGCCGAGUAACGCACUACCUAUACCAAAUAAGGUCCGGAGCUAUUUAUAAGGCUAGAGUAAAAUCUAGAAACCCCUUUUCUGAAUUUGAUCUGAAAUGAAGUGGGACUACCCGCCGAAUUUAAGCAUAUUAUUAAGCGGAGGAAAAGAAACUAACAAGGAUUCCCCUAGUAACGGCGAGUGAAGCGGGAAAAGCUCAAACUUAAAAUCGGUGUACCUAGCAGUGCUCCGAGUUGUAGUCUAGAGACGCAGUGCCAGCGUGUGACCUGGGUAUAAAUCUUUUGAAACAAGGUAUCAGAGAGGGUGAGAAUCCCGUCUUUGACCCGGAGUUUGCCGCGUACGGCCUGUGUUCUAAGAGUCGGAUAGCUUGGGAAUGCUGUCCUAAAUGGGUGGUAAAUUUCAUCUAAAGCUAAAUACAGAGGAGAGACCGAUAGCGUACAAGUACCGUGAGGGAAAGAUGAAAAGAACUUUGAAAAGAGAGUUAAAAAGAACUUGAAAUUGCUAAGAGGUAAGCACUGGAAACCAGUCAUGCCUGUGACUAUUUGCCCGAUCGCUGGGGUUCGUCGGUCUUGCUGGGACGUUAAAGCUCAGCUUGGCUGUAUUUGGGCUUCAGGGGUUGGGAACUGUAGUCAUGGGCGAGUCAACAUCAGUUAGAAUCGCAGGAGAAUUUCGUGCGGAAGGUAGUCCUGCUGCAGCGAUGUAGUAGGAAACUUAUAGCCGUGCGGCACUACUGUGGCACUGACUGAGGAAACGAUAACGCGCCCCUUUAUUGGGAGCGGUCCCUAGCUCCUGCUGGUCUGGUUUGGUACGGAGAACAAAGUUCUGCGUGUUGGCCAUGGCUGGUACUGGGUUGGGUCGAUCAGCUGCGUGUUCGCGAUGUUGACGAAAUGGUUUUCAUUGACCCGUCUUGAAACACGGACCAAGGAGUAUAACAUAUAUGCGAGUAUUUGAGUGAGUAAAACCCUGAUGCGAAAUGAAAGUAAAGCGAACCUUUAUGGUUCGUGAGGUAGGAACCCUGGGCUCGUUCCGGGAGGCACUAUCGACCGAUCGUUCAUUUAUGAAAGAUUUGAGUAAGAGCAUAUCUGUUGUGACCCGAAAGAUGGUGAACUAUGCCUGAUCAGGGCGAAGCCAGGGGAAACUCUGGUGGAGGCUCGUAGCGAUACUGACGUGCAAAUCGUUCGUCUGAAUUGGGUAUAGGGGCGAAAGACUAAUCGAACCAUCUAGUAGCUGGUUCCCUC
rnacentral:misc_RNA from 1 species